rnacentral:rRNA from 1 species
GAUGAACGCUGGCGGCGUGCUUAACACAUGCAAGUCGAACGGGAAAUAUUUCAUUGAGACUUCGGUGGAUUUGAUUUAUUUCUAGUGGCGGACGGGUGAGUAACGCGUGGGUAAUCUGCCUUAUACAGGGGGAUAACAGUCAGAAAUGGCUGCUAAUACCGCAUAAGCGCACAGAGCUGCAUGGCUCAGUGUGAAAAACUCCGGUGGUAUAAGAUGGACCCGCGUUGGAUUAGCUAGUUGGUGGGGUAACGGCCCACCAAGGCGACGAUCCAUAGCCGGGCUGAGAGGGUGAGCGGCCACAUUGGGACGGAGACACGGCCCAGACUCUUACGGGAGGCAGCAGUGGGGAAUAUAGCACAGUGGGGGAAACCAUGAUGCCGCGCCGCCGGUUGAAGGAAGAAGUAUGUCGGUAAGUAAACUUCUAUCAGCAGGGAAGAUAGUGACGGUACCUGAAUAAGAAGCCCCGGCUAACUACGUG